UACGGGGGGGGCAAGCGUUGUUCGGAAUUACUGGGCGUAAAGGGCUUGUAGGUGGCCAACUAAGUCAGACGUGAAAUCCCUCGGCUUAACCGGGGAACUGCGUCUGAUACUGGAUGGCUCGAGUGUGGGAGAGGGAUGCGGAAUUCCAGGUGUAGCGGUGAAAUGCGUAGAUAUCUGGAGGAACACCGGUGGCGAAGGCGGCAUCCUGGACCAACACUGACGCUGAGGAGCGAAAGCCAGGGGAGCAAACGGG
rnacentral:rRNA from 1 species